rnacentral:rRNA from 1 species
UACGUAGGGGGCAAGCGUUGUCCGGAUUUAUUGGGCGUAAAGAGCUCGUAGGCGGCUCGGUAAGUCGGAUGUGAAACCUCCAGGCUCAACCUGGAGACGCCAUCUGAUACUGCCGUGGCUUGAGUCCGGUAGAGGAGCAGGGAAUUCCUGGUGUAGCGGUGAAAUGCGUAGAUAUCUGGAGGAACACCGGUGGCGAAGGCGGCAUCCUGGACCAAUAUUGACGCUGAGGAGCGAAAGCUAGGGGAGCAAACGGG